UACGAGGGGGGCAAAUGUUGUUCGGAAUCACUGGGCGUAAAGGGAGCGUAGGCGGGUUCUUAAGUAAGGUGUUUAAUCCCGGGGCCCAACCCCGGACCGGCACUUUAAACUGGGAAUCUUGAAUAGUGGAGAGGUCGGUGGAAUUGGGGGUGUAGCGGUGGAAUGCGCAGAGAUCCCCAAGAACACCAGUUGCGAAGGCGGCCGACUGGACACAUAUUGACGCUGAGGCUCGAAAGCAUGGGGAGCAAACAGG
rnacentral:rRNA from 1 species